UAUAGAGUGGAAACUGGAGCUGAUAUC
rnacentral:piRNA from 1 species